ACACCGGCAGCUCAAGUGGUAGCCGCUUUUAUUGGGCCUAAAGCGUCCGUAGCCGGUCUGAUAAGUCUCUGGUGAAAUCCCACCGCUUAACUGUGGGAAUUGCUGGAGAUACUAUCAUGACUCGAGGUCGGGAGAGGCUGGAGGUACUCCCGGGGUAGGGGUGAAAUCCUGCAAUCCUGGGAGGACCACCUGUGGCGAAGGCGUCCAGCUGGAACGAACCUGACGGUGAGGGACGAAAGCCAGGGGCGCGAACCGGAUUAGAUACCCGGGUAGUCCUGGCCGUAAACGAUGUGGACUUGGUGUUGGGAUGGCUUCGAGCUGCCCCAGUGCCGAAGGGAAGCUGUUAAGUCCACCGCCUGGGAAGUACGGCCGCAAGGCUGAAACUUAAAGGAAUUGACGGGG
rnacentral:rRNA from 1 species